AGGAGUCAGUGGGUGCUUGCAGGUCUCCUUCUUGGUCCUCCUGUGAGAAGUGUUUUAUUACUGCAGAAAUGGCACUUAGCUGUCCGUUGCCGUUGUCAACAAAGCAAUGAACUACAGAUAAAAGUGCACGAAACAAUCCUGUUGAAAAAUAGGGUCUGAGCCUUCCCUGCUGCAACUUUUGGCUUCCCUUGGGGUGCAGCAUUGAUGCUUUGUGGCUGAACAAAGCCAACCUGUUGUAAAACCAGUGUGGAACUUUCAUCUGCUGCUCAAGUGUUCCUCUGUGGCUUCUGCCUUAAGUGUAUGGGAUUGAGGCUGACCCACGUUGAGAUGGGAUGGCGUUGUACUGGCUAACUCAUGUCCAAGGACAAAGAAGAGGAGUUUGGCUGUCUUGACAAUGACUGGUUCUGCAGUAGGGGUUUUUUGUGAUGUCAUUGGGAACAACUUGGUUGGGAGCCAUGGUUCCUCGCCUUUCUGCUGGGAGCACACUAGACCUUGUGUAGGGCCUGGGUUUGUUGCCCUGACUGCAUCACAGGGUGACAGCUUACAUAGGAGCAACUAGAGGAUGGGACUGGCGUGCCAUCACCCAGCAGCUGGAGCCCACCAUGAGGUCCUUUGUCCCUUACCUGUGAUUUAAGACCUGACAGCAGCAGGGUGAGGAUCCGUACCUGUUAGGCACAGUGCCACUCCUGGGGAGACAGUUGGCACUUGUCACUGCUGCAGCUGGGGCCAUCCCUGCAUCCAUGGGGCUGCAGAACCCAGUUGGCAGCUGGGACACCGUAGGAAUCCAGCCCAGAGAUAUGGAGCGUUGGCUUUAGCAGAUGGAAAUAAAUACACUGAAUGCAGCCCAAGAUGUCUGUGCUAGCUAACUGUGUGUGUGGAGGUAUCCCUGUGUCCGUGGUUUGUUCUCUUUCACAUCAUGAAACACAGUGGAGUUCUGGCAGCCGGGGGGAGCCCAAGGAGCUCCUCCAGUUUCAGCUCCCAAGCCCCUUCUCUUUUCUCUGUGCCAUACGGUAUCUGGUUUGCUGGUUGUGGGUUUAUACAAUCGACUUUGUGAUUUCAGGGAUUUCCUAAGCAAACAAGCAAACCAUCAAUAUUGCUCUAACAGAGCGUUGGUGUUUAUCUACGCUUUUGCAGGAACACAGAUUGGAAUUACUGACUUUAAAUGAAACACCACCGGCAGGCGUGGUUUGUGCUAUGGGCUCAGGAUGCUCUGCUGCUAUCAGCCCUUUGUGGAGUGGGUUGUCUUGGGUGUAGUGAUGUGCUGAGCUGUCUGCCUGUACAGCACAUCACAUAACAACUGCUUGAGUUGCAUAAAUAUGUAUACAUGUGUCAUUUUUG